UCCGGUUGAUCCUGCCGGAGGCCACUGCUAUCGGUUUCCGACUAAGCCAUGCGAGUCAUGGGGUCGCAAGACACCGGCGCACGGCUCAGUAACACGCGGACAAUCUAUCCUCUGGUGGGGGAUAACCUCGGGAAACUGAGGCUAAUACCCCAUAGAUGUUCAAUUCUGGAAUGAUUGAAUGUUGAAAGCGCAAGUGCCAGAGGGUGAGUCUGCGACCUAUCAGGUAGUAGGUGGUGUAACGGACCACCUAGCCUAAGACGGGUACGGGCCUUGAGAGAGGAAGCCCGGAGAUGGGUUCUGAGACACGAACCCAGGCCCUACGGGGCGCAGCAGGCGCGAAACCUUCGCACUGCGCGAAAGCGCGACGAGGGGAGACCGAGUGCCUCUCCUUUUUGGGGAGGCUUUUCGCAAGCUUAAAAAGCUUGUGGAAUAAGGGCUGGGCAAGACGGGUGCCAGCCGCCGCGGUAAUACCCGCAGCUCAAGUGGUGGUCGCUUUUAUUGAGCCUAAAACGUUCGUAGUCGGCCUUGUAAAUCCCUGGGUAAAUCGGGGCGCUUAACGUUUCGAAUUCCGGGGAGACUGUAAGGCUAGGGACCGGGCGAGGUCAGAGGUACUUUCGGGGUAGGAGUGAAAUCCUGUAAUCCCGAAGGGACCACCUGUGGCGAAAGCGUCUGACUUGAACGGCUCCGACGAUGAGGUACGAAGGCUAGGGGAGCAAACCGGAUUGGAUACCCGGGUAGUCCUAGCUGUAAACUCUGCCCGCUUGGUGUGGCCUGUACUUCGGGUGCAGGCUGUGCCGGAGCGAAGGUGUUAAGCGGGCUGCUUGGGGAGUACGGCCGCAAGGUUGAAACUUAAAGGAAUUGGCGGGGGAGCACCGCAACGGGAGGAUGCGUGCGGUUUAAUUGGAUUCAACGCCGGA
rnacentral:rRNA from 1 species